GCCCGCUUAGCUCAGAGG
rnacentral:tRNA from 3 species